AACGAACGCUGGCGGCAGGCUUAACACAUGCAAGUCGAGCGCCCCGCAAGGGGAGCGGCAGACGGGUGAGUAACGCGUGGGAAUCUACCCAUCUCUACAGAAUAACGCAUGGAAACGUGUGCUAAUACCGUAUACGUCCUUCGGGAGAAAGAUUUAUCGGAGAUGGAUGAGCCCGCGUUGGAUUAGCUAGUUGGUGGGGUAAAGGCCUACCAAGGCGACGAUCCAUAGCUGGUCUGAGAGGAUGAUCAGCCACACUGGGACUGAGACACGGCCCAGACUCCUACGGGAGGCAGCAGUGGGGAAUAUUGGACAAUGGGCGCAAGCCUGAUCCAGCCAUGCCGCGUGAGUGAUGAAGGCCCUAGGGUUGUAAAGCUCUUUCACCGGUGAGGAUAAUGACGGUAACCGGAGAAGAAGCCCCGGCUAACUUCGUGCCAGCCGCCGCGGUAACAC
rnacentral:rRNA from 1 species